rnacentral:lncRNA from 12 species
CAGAGUCCUACCUUCUCCUGAGCUCUGACUCUUUCCUCUCUGUGCUCCCUGCUGAUCCAUUCACCAGCAUGAAGAUCUUGGCGUUGCUGGUCCUGGUGGCAGUCUCCACCUUCCUGGUCUCAGGCCAGGAUACAACAGAUGCUCCGUCUGAUAGCUCUAGUGCUGCCCCUGAAGCCACCACUGAGGCCCCGGCCACCACAGCUGAUGCCACCACUGAGGCCCCGGCCACCACAGCUGAUGCCGCCACUGAGGCCCCGGCCACCACAGCUGAUGCCGCCACUGACGCUCCGGCCACCACAGCUGAUGCCGCCACUGAGGCCCCGGCCACCACUGCUGCGGCCACCACUGCAGCUCCUACCACCAAGACCAGCAAGACUAAAUUUAUCACUAAGAGGCCCACCCCUGGCUGGCUUAAGAAAAUACUGAGAUGGAAUUAGCCUUGGCCUUCUGCGUUUGUUCCUGCUGGACUCAGCCACUUGUCUCUUCAUUUGACUACUUCAACCACUUACCAUGUGUACCAACUAUCUCUUAACCCCAAUAAAUGUAUCUGUUUUCAAAUAAAAAAUAACA